CCUUCGAUAGCUCAGCUGGAAGAGCGUGGGACUGUAAUGGUUAACUUUGUCAUCCCAAGGCCGUUGGUUCGAUCCCGACUCGAAGGA
rnacentral:tRNA from 1 species